rnacentral:rRNA from 1 species
UAUUGAUUUUUUUGUUAUUUAUUUUUGUGGUAUUUAAUUGUUUAAUUGAAGAAUCAUUGUGGUUGUUGUAUUUUUGUGAUUUAAUUUUUUAGGCGAUAGUUUAUUUGUACUGUAAGGGAUUAUUAAGUAUUUUUAUAGAAGUAGAUUUUGUUUAUCGUACCUUGUGUAUCAGGGUUCAUUGAAUUUUAUUAUUUAUUUUUAUUUCCCGAUUUUAAAGGAGUUAAUGAUUUAUGUUAGUUACUGUUUCAUUAGUAUUAAUAAUAGGUUAUUGGUAGUGAAAUGUUAUUCGUCUUUGGAGGUUUCUGGUUUUUCAAGAAAUGAAUUUAAUUCAUGCAUAUUGUUUAAUUUCUGUUGUUUUAUUAUUUAUUUUUAUUUUAUGCUAAGAUUAAGGGGGAUUAGCUCCUUAUUUUAUUUUUAUAAUUAAUUGCUUUGAAUUUAGUUUUGUGGAUUUUAUAUUGAUUUUCAAUUGGAUUAUGUUAAAAUUUUAUUUGUUCUUAUUGUUUAUUUGGCUUUAAUUUAAUUUGUUUAUUGAAAUGUUUAUUUUAUCUUUUGUUGGUAUGGUAAUUAUUGUGUAAUUAGUAAAUUUUGUUGUUAUGUUGUACUACUUUAUUAUGUUAAUUUCUUUUUAGGAAU